rnacentral:rRNA from 1 species
CCUACGGGAGGCAGCAGUGAGGAAUAUUGGUCAAUGGGCGUAAGCCUGAACCAGCCAAGUCGCGUGAGUGAUGAAGGUUCUCUGGAUCGUAAACCUCUUUUAUAAGGGAGUAAAGUGUGGGACGUGUCCUAUUUUGUAUGUACCUUAUGAAUAAGGAUCGGCUAACUCCGUGCCAGCAGCCGCGGUAAUACGGAGGAUCCGAGCGUUAUCCGGAUUUAUUGGGUUUAAAGGGUGCGUAGGCGGCCUUUUAAGUCAGCGGUGAAAGCCUGUGGCUCAACCAUAGAAUUGCCGUUGAAACUGGGGGGCUUGAGUAUGGUUGAGGCAGGCGGAAUGCGUGGUGUAGCGGUGAAAUGCUUAGAGAUCACGCAGAACCCCGAUUGCGAAGGCAGCCUGCCAAGCCAUGACUGACGCUGAUGCACGAAAGCGUGGGGAUCAAACAGGAUUAGAUACCCUUGUAGUC